rnacentral:rRNA from 1 species
AUUGAACGCUGGCGGCAUGCCUUACACAUGCAAGUCGAACGGUAACAGGUCUUCGGAUGCUGACGAGUGGCGAACGGGUGAGUAAUACAUCGGAACGUGCCUAGUAGUGGGGGAUAACUACUCGAAAGAGUGGCUAAUACCGCAUGAGAUCUACGGAUGAAAGCAGGGGAUCGCAAGACCCUGUGCUACUAGAGCGGCCGAUGGCAGAUUAGGUAGUUGGUGGGAUAAAAGCUUACCAAGCCGACGAUCUGUAGCUGGUCUGAGAGGACGAUCAGCCACACUGGGACUGAGACACGGCCCAAACUCCUACGGGAGGCAGCAGUGGGGAAUUUUGGACAAUGGGCGAAAGCCUGAUCCAGCAAUGCCGCGUGCAGGAUGAAGGCCUUCGGGUUGUAAACUGCUUUUGUACGGAACGAGAAGCCCCGGGUUAAUACCCUGGGGUCAUGACGGUACCGUAAGAAUAAGCACCGGCUAACUACGUGCCAGCCGCCGCCGUAA